CAUGCAAGUCGAACGAUGAUGCCCAGCUUGCUGGGUGGAUUAGUGGCGAACGGGUGAGUAACACGUGAGUAACCUGCCCCUGACUCUGGGAUAAGCGUUGGAAACGACGUCUAAUACUGGAUAUGAUCACUGGCCGCAUGGUCUGGUGGUGGAAAGAUUUUUUGGUUGGGGAUGGACUCGCGGCCUAUCAGCUUGUUGGUGAGGUAAUGGCUCACCAAGGCGACGACGGGUAGCCGGCCUGAGAGGGUGACCGGCCACACUGGGACUGAGACACGGCCCAGACUCCUACGGGAGGCAGCAGUGGGGAAUAUUGCACAAUGGGCGAAAGCCUGAUGCAGCAACGCCGCGUGAGGGAUGACGGCCUUCGGGUUGUAAACCUCUUUUAGUAGGGAAGAAGCGAAAGUGACGGUACCUGCAGAAAAAGCACCGGCUAACUACGUGCCAGCAGCCGCGGUAAUACGUAGGGUGCAAGCGUUGUCCGGAAUUAUUGGGCGUAAAGAGCUCGUAGGCGGUUUGUCGCGUCUGCUGUGAAAUCCCGAGGCUCAACCUCGGGCUUGCAGUGGGUACGGGCAGACUAGAGUGCGGUAGGGGAGAUUGGAAUUCCUGGUGUAGCGGUGGAAUGCGCAGAUAUCAGGAGGAACACCGAUGGCGAAGGCAGAUCUCUGGGCCGUAACUGACGCUGAGGAGCGAAAGCAUGGGGAGCGAACAGGAUUAGAUACCCUGGUAGUCCAUGCCGUAAACGUUGGGCGCUAGAUGUAGGGACCUUUCCACGGUUUCUGUGUCGUAGCUAACGCAUUAAGCGCCCCGCCUGGGGAGUACGGCCGCAAGGCUAAAACUCAAAGGAAUUGACGGGGGCCCGCACAAGCGGCGGAGCAUGCGGAUUAAUUCGAUGCAACGCGAAGAACCUUACCAAGGCUUGACAUACACCGGAAACGGCCAGAGAUGGUCGCCCCCUUGUGGUCGGUGUACAGGUGGUGCAUGGUUGUCGUCAGCUCGUGUCGUGAGAUGUUGGGUUAAGUCCCGCAACGAGCGCAACCCUCGUUCUAUGUUGCCAGCGGGUUAUGCCGGGGACUCAUAGGAGACUGCCGGGGUCAACUCGGAGGAAGGUGGGGAUGACGUCAAAUCAUCAUGCCCCUUAUGUCUUGGGCUUCACGCAUGCUACAAUGGCCGGUACAAAGGGCUGCGAUACCGUAAGGUGGAGCGAAUCCCAAAAAGCCGGUCUCAGUUCGGAUUGAGGUCUGCAACUCGACCUCAUGAAGUCGGA
rnacentral:rRNA from 1 species